rnacentral:lncRNA from 11 species
CAUAGCUCCAUCAAUCUGGACCCAUGCUCUGUGGUAAAAAAAAAAAGUUGUGAAACACAUUACAGCUUCAGCCAAGAUAAGCCAUAAUGGAAAUAUCUGAAAUAGCCAGGGGACAGCUUCUGACCAGCUGGCUUUUCUGCCCCUUCCAAAGCUCAUGAAAACCAAACCAGAAGAAUGGGACUCUAGUGCCAAGCAAGUGGCUAUUCUGUUAUGCUAGCAAUGUGAGCCACAAAUAGAGCUCCUAGUAAGGAGCGACUUGAGAAACUGCAAGUCACUUCUGGUGUGAGAGAAUUGGCUGUCUACAAGGACGUUGUCCAGGGGACGCUCAGAUGUUUUGAUGUUUUGAUCAUCCUUGUGGGAGGCUUCUCUCAUGUCCCCGCAUGGAGCUGGAGCUGAUAGAGGGAGC